rnacentral:rRNA from 1 species
CCCUUAGAUGUCCUGGGCCGCACGCGUGCUACACUGAUACGUUCAACAAGCUUUUCUCCUGGCUCGGAAGAGUUCGGGUAAUCUUGAUAAUGCGUAUCGUGCUAGGGAUAGAUCUUUGAAAUUAUGGAUCUUGAACGAGGAAUUCCUAGUAAGCAUAAGUCAUCAGCUUGUGCUGAUUACGUCCCUGCCCUUUGUACACACCGCCCGUCGCUGCUACCGAUUUUGAGUGAUCCGGUGAACCUUCUGGACUGUAAUCGGGCUUGACCCGGUCGUGGGAAAUUAAGUAAACCUUAUCACUUAGAGGAAGCAGAAGUCGUAACA